AUAGAAACAAACAGAAGAUUCAGUUUCAGAUGAAAUGAACAGAUUUCAAACACAAUCUUCAUCAUGACCAUAAUUACCAUCAUCAUCAUCAAAGUACAAGAAACACAGUGGGUAAAACACAGAAAAGUGACACAUCCUGGAUGUAACAGCAUUUCUUCUGACUGGUUCUGGAAAGAUGGAUGCUGGUGGUCUGGAUCAAGAUGACCAUCUCUGUAGAAAAGAAUAUCUUCUUGCUCCAGAUCAGUUCUGGUCCACCUCACAGCUACGAUGUUUCCAUCAUGUCCAGCUCUACAUGGCAGAGAGACGUCCUGUCCAGGUGCAGCCCUGAAGA